UGUCUAAUGGCCUUAGCAAAAUGGUAAGUGC
rnacentral:piRNA from 1 species